GACGAACGCUGGCGGCGUGCCUAAUACAUGCAAGUCGAGCGGACGGAUGGGAGCUUGCUCCCAGACCGUCAGCGGCGGACGGGUGAGUAACACGUGGGCAACCUGCCUGUAAGACUGGGAUAACUCCGGGAAACCGGGGCUAAUACCGGAUAACUCUUUCCCUCACAUGAGGGAAAGCUGAAAGAUGGCAUCUCGCUAUCACUUACAGAUGGGCCCGCGGCGCAUUAGCUAGUUGGUGAGGUAACGGCUCACCAAGGCGACGAUGCGUAGCCGACCUGAGAGGGUGAUCGGCCACACUGGGACUGAGACACGGCCCAGACUCCUACGGGAGGCAGCAGUAGGGAAUCUUCCGCAAUGGACGAAAGUCUGACGGAGCAACGCCGCGUGAGUGAUGAAGGUUUUCGGAUCGUAAAACUCUGUUGUCAGGGAAGAACAAGUACCGGAGUAACUGCCGGUACCUUGACGGUACCUGACCAGAAAGCCACAGCUAACUACGUG
rnacentral:rRNA from 1 species